ensembl:lncRNA
GUGCACGGCCCGGAGAACAAAGAGCAGUGCCCACAAGGGACGGGGCUGCCUGGCCGAGAAAGGACUGCUCAGCACGUGAGCGAUAGGAGCCCGGAGACAGAACUACACGUACACAGACCCUCCUUAAGGAAGGCGGUCCUUCUCUGCAGGGCUGCUCUCCAGGACUGCUCCUCCCAGUCUGUAUGUAUGCCUGGGAUUCCUCGGGCCCAGUGCCAAACCUUGCACUUUGCGGUGUUGAACCUCAUGAGGUUCACCCGGGCCCCCCUUUCAAGCCUGUUGAGGUCCCUCAGGAUGGCAUCCCUUCCUUCCACCGUGUCAACCGCAGCGCUCAGCUGGGUGUCUCCAGCAAACUUCUGCAUUCAGUCUGAUGAGGCGGUGUCGGACUUGCAGUCCGAGUUACAGUGGGGAGGGAUUUACUCCCCCGGUCCCCAGCUGGAGGUUUAGGGAUGCAGGGCUCAGGGAGGUGAGAAAUACUGGAGUCCUGGCUGCCAGUGGAGACUGAGGCCAAGAACUCAUUCAGUACCUCCGCCUUCUCUUCAUCCGUUGAGGCCACUUCUCCUUUUGCAUUUUGCAAAGGAGGUCAACAGUAAAAGCCCGUAAGUGUGGCCUAAAGGAUUGUGGGUGAGAAUGAGAGAUCUUUGUUUUUGUCCAAAUGUGCUGUAACAUCAGAACUUCCAGCCUGUGCCGCAGCAGAAAAGGAGUAUUGGGGAACGUCGGUGGUUUUUGAUUCACGGAGCUUCCCAGAACCGAGUUGGAUUGACACUGGCUCAAGGAGUCCCAAGGCUCAGAGUGCUCCCACAUCCUACCUAACCUUCUCAAGGCACAAAGUUACGGAGCCCCACUGUAUCUUGAUCCACUCCUAAUCCCAUACUUCAUGAGGGGAUAACGUCAGAGAGAUCAUAUGUACAUACUUAAUAUCACUUAAUGAUACAAGCUUAGAGAAGCUCGCAAAGAUCCAAAGUAACCAUGAGUCUUUUAC